UAGGUGUCGACUUGUUCAGAAUCGAAGGGGUGAUCACCAACUUUGGCCUUCCUAUGGGUCCUUUCCAGUAAUCUUCUUUCUUUCCCAUUUUCAUGAAUUGAGUAUAUAUGAUCUCUGCAUAACCAUUAACCCCAAAAUGCACACAUUAAUUAGUGAUACGAUUCUUAUCACUAUCUAGAUGUCAUUAAUGGCUGAGUAGAAAAUAUAUCACCCGACCCGGCCGGCUUCCAGGUCGAUGGUAAGCAAUGAUAAUUGGAUUGGACUGGUUAGGCCAGGAUAUUGGUAUAUUGGUUAGGGUAUCGGUUUGAGAAAUGGUUUUGAAUUAGUUAGACUAAAAAUUGAUGCGGGCUAGUUGAACCAACUAAAAAUUAGUUCAUUUUUUUUAACUUUUAAUUGAAUCGGUCAGAUCGAUAAAUUGAUGACUUAACUAAUUCAACUAUCAAUUCGGUUCUAAAAACAUUAAUCGUAAGAUACAAAUCGAAGUUGUCUUCUUUGAAUACCAAUUGAUUUGGUAUCUGUUUUACAAGAGUGCACCCAUUUGUAUGCGAAUUUAUUUGAUAUUUGUUCUUUAGGGUGCUCUUUAUGUGUGGGGAUUAGGAUUUGAAUUUGUAAAAGCCCACUUUGAUAAUUCUGAAUUAUAUAUUUACAGUUUGAUAUAGAGGUGUUUAUGAGCCAGUCUGAGUUCGGGUUGAGUUUAAGAAUGAUAUGAACACACUUUAUACUUGCUUCAAGUUCGACUCGACCUAAAAUACUAGUCUAAAAUUUUACUCAAGUUUAGUUAUAUUUGUAAUGGCUAACACAAAUUCAUUUUAGAUCCGCUCAUAUUAUUUUUUUGAAUUUUCUUAAAUAUUUAUAUUAUUUUUAAUUUAAAGUUUAAUAAUAAUAUAUAUUUUUUAUUUAUUAAAAAUUUAUAUACAGACAUCUUAACAUUUUUUAAAUAUUUACACUAUAAUACUAUGUAUUACUAUUGAUUUAGUUUAAAAAAUAACAUAAUUUAUUAGGUUAUAAACAUAGAAAACCAACUGGUUGGGUUAUGAUAUAAAACGACACGUUUUUGAUAAGUAAUGCUUCUCUUUUGCAAUACUUGCAGGCUUCAAGAUGUAUCUGGUUACGGAGUUUUCUUAGCAGUUUGGAAAGAAUUUGCAAAGGCAUUUCCAGAUCGAGUAUUCAUGUCUCCAUUGAUUGAGCUUUUCAUGAAAAAUGGACGAAAUGGUAAAGAAAAACUGUAUUUAUAGUUUAUACUAUUCCUAUGACAUUCUUCUUUCUCGUUUGUUAGUGUUUUCAAUGGAUGCUCCUUAGCUAUUGAAGCAUUUUAUGAACUUCUUGGGUUAUUUGCAGGGAAAAUCAAUGGGAAAGGAUACUAUAUUUAUGAGAAAGGAAGCAAGCCAAAACCUGAUCCUUCUAUAUUACCUAUUAUUGAGGAGUGUCGACGGCAAACCAAGCUUAUGCCUGCCGGAAAGGUAGCUAUACUUGCCUUUAAAAUCAUUUUAUACUUCUAUAGUAUAUCCUUUAUUCUAUCAACACAAUUCAAAUUUGAUAAUAAAAAGUUUCUAAACUUAAUCCAACUGACUUAAACCUAGAUUGACCUGAGGGUGUAAUCGAGUUGAAUUGAGCCUGAAUACUAGCAAGGUUGAGCUCGACUUGAAAUUUGGAGCUCUAUAUAUGGCUCGAGUUUGAUCGAACAUCUAUUUUUAAGUUUGAGUGCAGCUCAAGAUAUAAUUGAGCUAUCAAACGUGAGCUUGAUUAAGUUAUUUAUCAAUUUUUGUACUCAAGCAUUAACUUGAUUAAGCUCGUAUGUAUUCAAGCUCGAGUUUGAACUCAGCUUGAUAAUAUAUUAAGGGCAAUAACGUAAUCUAAUAAUAUAAAAUAUUUAUUAAAAACAUUGAUAAGUUUUCGAGUCAUUCAAGCUCAGUAUUACUAAACUUGAAUUCAGUUUGACCAGUAGUUCAAGUUGCUCAAGCUCAAGCUGAACUCAAUAAUUAUUAAAUUGAGUUUGAGUUUUUUUUUUCAAGUCGAACUUAAGUAGCUUAUGACUUGUGACCACUAGUGUCUCAUUUACACCCCUAACCAAACUUAAAAUAGACCUAAACCUAAAAUAACUUAAUUUGAAGUGACCAAAACUCAAAAUGACUAAAAUUUAAAAUAACCUAAACUUGAAAUUAACCCGAACCGAAUUAACCCAAAAAUUUAAAAAUUCAAAUUAAUCCAAUCUAAAUUUAUCAGAUCCAAAUUCAAUCUGAUUCAGGAUGGGUUAAUGUUAACAAAGCUAUGAAAGACAAAGACAAUAGAAGCCAACACCUUUUCUAUUAGGCCUUUGUAUACAAAAAUAGCAAAUGAAUUGUUUUUGUUUUGACAGCCUAUAACAAUUUCUGAUAAAGAAAUCCUAGAGAUGGUGCUGUUCCCAGUAGUUAAUGAGGCAUGUCGAGUUCUGGAUGAAGAAGUAGUGGUUCGAGCAUCAGACCUUGAUACUACAUCUGUUCUUGGAAUGAGCUUCCCAUCUCACCGGUAUGUUUCUCUUUUUGGGUCGUGGGAGGGACAAAGUUUAUUUAAUUUUAAUUUUACUUACAGGCAGCUAAUUUGGUGAUUUCAUAAUGUCAUUACAAAGAUAAUUAUUUUAAAUAUUUACUUGCAUAAUUAUUUGGACGAGUAUAAUUAGUAUAGGUUCAACUUGUGCCUUAAAUUUGUUAAAGAUUCUCGAUUUUGUUGAGAGAAAUUUAAAUAACAUUGUUUGUUCAUAACGUUCAGAAUAGUCUCAAUGAGGGUUUUUUGUCCCAACUCUACCAUAGAGAAAUUAGUGAAACAUCACUUCGGUUUUCAUGACAGGUGAAAGACACUCCUACUUCGUAGCUUUUUUGGGGUAGAGUUAGGACCGCUUGUGGCUCUUGACAUUACUAUUAGCUGUGAAAACCAAAGGUGUCUCAUGGAUAAAAUUUAGGAUUAAAAUUGAGUAUGAACACCGAGAGAUAACCACUCUCAAAACAAUUAUAAACGUGUUGAUAAUCUAUCGAUUAUCAAUUGACAACAUUUUGCAAACUUCUCUCGAUAUAAUUGGAACCCAUAACCGGUUCUUGAUAAAAUACGGGUGCAUUAUGUACAGUUGUACAGUUCUUGUAUGUUAACAUACAUAUCGUUUAGGAGUAGUCCCUUCACUAACAUGGAUUAUGAUGUGGUUUUUGGCAGUGGUGGAAUAGUGUUUUGGGCAGAUACGGUUGGAGCAAAUCACGUUUAUAAAAGUCUUAAAGAAUGGUCAGAGGCGUACGGUAGCUUCUAUAAACCAUCAAAGUAUUUGGAAGAAAGAGCCAUUAAAGGCAUCCCAUUGGUAACAACCUUAUCCCUUUUUUUUUAUUUUUUAUUUCUUUCUAUUUUCCUCUCUGCCCAAUGUAACUUAGGUCUCAUAAAGGGCGAAAUUAGAUCCCACAUAUAUUGUAAUUAAAAUUAUCAAGUCAAAGUUAAAAAUUUAUAAAAGAUCGUUUUUAUUAUUAUAAACAUCAGUAUCAAACAUUUUUUAUAUUUUAAAAUGGUUAAUAUUUUGUAAUGUUUUUAAUUCUGCAACUAAUCUUAAAAAAAAAUGCAAUUUGUCUUUUUUUUUAAUUAUAUAUAUUUAGUUUUUUUAAUGUUAAUAUGGAUUUGUUUUUAUUUAUGGUCGUGGUUAGACAUAGUUCUCUAUUUAUAGGUAAUUAAAAACCUUAUUACACGUUUAUGUGUAUGCGAAACCAUAAAUAUAAAACAUAAAACAAAUAUUAAAUAUUAAAAAAAAUAAUAAUAAGAGAUGAGAUUAUGAGGUGCUUACCUUUUGUUUAUUUGCAGAGUGCAGCAGCAACUUCAUCUCCAUCAUCAAAGUCGAGGCUUUGAGGCUAAUAAAUAAUAAAGCAAUAGG
rnacentral:lncRNA from 1 species